rnacentral:piRNA from 1 species
GAACCUGCACUUCAAAGAUAAACCUGGAA